GAUGAACGCUGGCGGCGUGCCUAACACAUGCAAGUCGAGCGAUUCUCUUCGGAGAAGAGCGGCGGACGGGUGAGUAACGCGUGGGUAACCUGCCCUGUACACACGGAUAACAUACCGAAAGGUAUGCUAAUACGAGAUAAUAUGCUUUUAUCGCAUGGUAGAAGUAUCAAAGCUCCGGCGGUACAGGAUGGACCCGCGUCUGAUUAGCUAGUUGGUAAGGUAACGGCUUACCAAGGCUACGAUCAGUAGCCGACCUGAGAGGGUGAUCGGCCACAUUGGAACUGAGACACGGUCCAAACUCCUACGGGAGGCAGCAGUGGGGAAUAUUGCACAAUGGGCGAAAGCCUGAUGCAGCAACGCCGCGUGAGCGAUGAAGGCCUUCGGGUCGUAAAGCUCUGUCCUCAAGGAAGAUAAUGACGGUGCUUGAGGAGGAAGCCCCGGCUAACUACGUGCCAGCCGCCGCAGUAAAAC
rnacentral:rRNA from 1 species